rnacentral:rRNA from 1 species
CCCUUAGAUGUUCUGGGCCGCACGCGCGCUACACUGAUGCAUUCAACGAGUUUCUUCCUGGUCCGAGAGGAAUGGGUAACCUUUUGAAAGUGCAUCGUGAUAGGGAUAGACUAUUGCAAUUAUUGGUCUUCAACGAGGAAUUCCUAGUAGACGUAGUUCAUCAGACUGCAUCGAUUACGUCCCUGCCCUUUGUACACACCGCCCGUCGCUACUACCGAUUGAAUGAUUUAGUGAGAUCUUCGGAUUGGCGCCACUGCGGCUCAGCAAUGGGCUCGGUGGAUGCCGAAAAGUUGAUCAAACUUGAUCAUUUAGAGGAAGUAAAAGUCGUAACA